GGCAGAAGCACAGGCUGUGAGCACAGCACGGAGAGAUGCUGCUGUGGGCUUGUAUCUAUUGCAAGGAGAAAUACAGGCUGCCUUUUGUCGUGCAGAGGAGAGAUGGAAGGGAUAUGUGCGCAAGCAGAUCUUGUAUAGCUCCUCUUUCCUUUCUGCUCUCCACCAGAUGCUCCCAGAGGUGAUCCCAAGGAUUAGCCAUACCGAGUGCCACAAACCACCUUGCAGCAACAGAGUCAUAAACUGAAGAGGAUAGAAAGGAUUUUAA
rnacentral:lncRNA from 12 species